AAUAGCUCGUAGUUGAAUUUUGGGCCGGGCUUGGGGGUCGGGCCAAUGGUCUGCACUCCCGGUCUGGCCUUUCCUUCUGGGAACGUGCAUGCACUUUAUUGUGUGUGUACGGGAUCCAGGACUUUUACUUUGAAAAAAUUAGAGUGUUUAAAGCGGGCAUUUGCUUGAAUACAUUAGCAUGGAAUAAUAGAAUAGGACUUUGGUUCUAUUUUGUUGGUUUCUAGGACCGAAGUAAUGAUCAAUAGGGACAGUUGGGGGCAUUAGUAUUUAAUUGUCAGAGGUGAAAUUCUUGGAUUUAUGAAAGACUAACUUCUGCGAAAGCAUUUGCCAAGGAUGUUUUCAUUAAUCAAGAACGAAAGUCAGGGGAUCGAAGACGAUCAGAUACCGUCGUAGUCUUGACCAUAAACUAUGCCGACUAGGGAUCGGACGAUGUAUUUUAUGACUCGUUCGGCACCUUAUGAGAAAUCAAAGUCUUUGGGUACCGGGGGGAGUAUGGUCGCAAGGCUGAAACUUAAAGGAAUUGACGGAAGGGCACCACCAGGAGUGGAGCCUGCGGCUUAAUUUGACUCAACACGGGGAAACUCACCAGGUCCAGACAUAAUAAGGAUUGACAGAUUGAGAGCUCUUUCUUGAUUUUAUGGGUGGUGGUGCAUGGCCGUUCUUAGUUGGUGGAGUGAUUUGUCUGGUUAAUUCCGAUAACGAACGAGACCUUAAUCUGCUAAAUAGUUGCAUUCACUUUGGUGGAUGAUCAACUUCUUAGAGAGACUAUGUACGUUUAGUACGUGGAAGUUUGAGGCAAUAACAGGUCUGUGAUGCCCUUAGAUGUUCUGGGCCGCACGCGCGCUACACUGAC
rnacentral:rRNA from 1 species